rnacentral:rRNA from 1 species
GACGAACGCUGGCGGCGUGCCUAAUACAUGCAAGUCGAGCGCAGGAAACUGACGGAACUCUUCGGAGGGAAGGCAGUGGAAUGAGCGGCGGACGGGUGAGUAACACGUAAGGAACCUGCCUCAAGGAUUGGGAUAACUCCGAGAAAUCGGAGCUAAUACCGGAUAGUUCAUCGGACCGCAUGGUCCGUUGAUGAAAGGCGCUCCGGCGUCACUUGAGAUGGCCUUGCGGUGCAUUAGCUAGUUGGUGGGGUAACGGCCCACCAAGGCGACGAUGCAUAGCCGACCUGAGAGGGUGAUCGGCCACACUGGGACUGAGACACGGCCCAGACUCCUACGGGAGGCAGCAGUAGGGAAUCUUCCACAAUGGACGAAAGUCUGAUGGAGCAACGCCUCGUGAGUGAUGAAGGUUUUCGGAUCGUAAAACUCUGUUGUAAGGGAAGAACACGUACGAGAGGGAAUGCUCGUACCUUGACGGUACCUUACGAGAAAGCCACGGCUAACUACGUGCCAGCAGCCGCCGUAA